AGAGUUUGAUCCUGGCUCAGAUUGAACGCUGGCGGCAUGCCUUACACAUGCAAGUUGAACGGCAGCGCGGGAGCAAUCCUGGCGGCGAGUGGCGAACGGGUGAGUAAUACAUCAGAACGUGCCCAAUCGUGGGGGAUAACGCAGCGAAAGCUGUGCUAAUACCGCAUACGAUCUACGGAUGAAAGCAGGGGAUCGCAAGACCUUGCGCGAAUGGAGCGGCCGAUGGCAGAUUAGGUAGUUGGUGAGGUAAAGGCUCACCAAGCCUUCGAUCUGUAGCUGGUCUGAGAGGACGACCAGCCACACUGGGACUGAGACACGGCCCAGACUCCUACGGGAGGCAGCAGUGGGGAAUUUUGGACAAUGGGCGAAAGCCUGAUCCAGCCAUGCCGCGUGCAGGAUGAAGGCCUUCGGGUUGUAAACUGCUUUUGUACGGAACGAAACGGCCUUUUCUAAUAAAGAGGGCUAAUGACGGUACCGUAAGAAUAAGCACCGGCUAACUACGUGCCAGCAGCCGCGGUAAUACGUAGGGUGCAAGCGUUAAUCGGAAUUACUGGGCGUAAAGCGUGCGCAGGCGGUUAUGUAAGACAGUUGUGAAAUCCCCGGGCUCAACCUGGGAACUGCAUCUGUGACUGCAUAGCUAGAGUACGGUAGAGGGGGAUGGAAUUCCGCGUGUAGCAGUGAAAUGCGUAGAUAUGCGGAGGAACACCGAUGGCGAAGGCAAUCCCCUGGACCUGUACUGACGCUCAUGCACGAAAGCGUGGGGAGCAAACAGGAUUAGAUACCCUGGUAGUCCACGCCCUAAACGAUGUCAACUGGUUGUUGGGUCUUCACUGACUCAGUAACGAAGCUAACGCGUGAAGUUGACCGCCUGGGGAGUACGGCCGCAAGGUUGAAACUCAGAGGAAUUGACGGGGACCCGCACAAGCGGUGGAUGAUGUGGUUUAAUUCGAUGCAACGCGAAAAACCUUACCCACCUUUGACAUGUACGGAAUUCGCCAGAGAUGGCUUAGUGCUCGAAAGAGAACCGUAACACAGGUGCUGCAUGGCUGUCGUCAGCUCGUGUCGUGAGAUGUUGGGUUAAGUCCCGCAACGAGCGCAACCCUUGUCAUUAGUUGCUACACUCAGUUGGGCACUCUAAUGAGACUGCCGGUGACAACCGGAGGAAGGUGGGGAUGACGUCAAGUCCUCAUGGCCCUUAUAGGUGGGGCUACACACGUCAUACAAUGGCUGGUACAAAGGGUUGCCAACCCGCGAGGGGGAGCUAAUCCCAUAAAACCAGUCGUAGUCCGGAUCGCAGUCUGCAACUCGACUGCGUGAAGUCGGAAUCGCUAGUAAUCGUGGAUCAGAAUGUCACGGUGAAUACGUUCCCGGGUCUUGUACACACCGCCCGUCACACCAUGGGAGCGGGUUCUGCCAGAAGUAGUUAGCUUAACCGCAAGGAGGGCGAUUACCACGGCAGGGUUCGUGACUGGGGUGAAGUCGAAACAAGGUAGCCGUAUCGGAAGGUGCGGCUG
rnacentral:rRNA from 1 species